UCUUUCAGCUUUCCAUCCCUGCAGGAAAGUGACAAUUGUAUGAUUAAUUUAUUCAAAAUGCUUUCACAGAUUUACGCGAUUGGGGUUGUUUUAAUCAUCACAAACGCGGCGUCUGGAGUCAGUGGUGACAAACCGGGUAAUUCUUCGCACAGAAGUCUGAAUACUGACAAUAGACUUAGUACAAAAUCCGGAACCGGAAGUAAAUGUUGUUCUGCAAUGUACGAAGUUUGUGAGUGUCCAUGUGACAAUGUUGUGAAAACCAGAAAUCACGAUUAUAUGCAUGUUUUUCCAAUCCGUAAAGGAGCUGAUGGCAAAAUUACACUGCUAUUCCAUGUGAAAGGCGAUCGCGACGCUAAUCUGCUGUUUUCAACAAACGUGUUCACAGAAUAUCAUGAGCCUGCUCAUGAGAUAAUACUGAGUGCUUCACCUGGUAAUAACUAUGCACGGCUCCGAAGAGGGAAAGGUUUAGCAGCAGGGGAAAUUCUAUCAUGGAAUGAAGAUGCUUUGCUGGUACCCGCUUGGGAAGGAUACCGGGUUGAAAUAGAGGGUCGAACAGUAAAAGUAGGAAAAAUGUUUCAGCCCCCAUUCAUGGUAUCAACGAAUGCACCCGAUAUACCGAUUAAUUAUUACAGCGUUGCGGGUUAUAAUAAUGCAGAUGUUACAUGGAGCCUUCCUUGUGUUAAGGAAAAAGAUUUGUGGUGAGAUUUUUAUAGGCAGGCGGUAUUCAUGUUUUAAAUCACAUACUGCCGAUGUAACUACGGGUAAUUGAUCGAAUAAAAAUUUUUCCCCAUUAAA